rnacentral:lncRNA from 1 species
UAGCAUCAAAAGGGAGACUACUAGAAGUCUGGAAUUGAGGAUCCGGUGUGACACAUUGUAAAAUAGAGAACAGUCACCAUGGUGUCUACUUGCUAAAAAUUGCCUCAGCAUCUCCAUUUAGAAAGCAGCCGGGGAGUUACAGGGACAGAAGGGCAUAGUGAAUGGCACUGGGCUGCCGAGCUAAUCAGACUCAGGCUAUCAGGAAUUCCAAGUGUUAGCACAUGCUCUCUUCUUGUGGAAGGUGGAUAACAUUGGAUAGGCGAUCCAUUAUAUUUUAUGUUUUAAGUGCUGCAGAACAGAUUUUUAAAACAUCAGAUGAUUUAGUUCUUAAUUUUGAGUAAAUGGUUCUUAAAAAUCACUUUAUAUGGUGUUUAUUUGCCUAUUAAAAUGUUUUAUUAAUUUUUUGAGAAUGUCAUCGAUGCAUACAAAUCUAUUGAGAUUGCGUUCCCUCCCUCUCUUCUGACUCCUCCCAGACCCACCCCAGUCCUUUGACCUCUCAACUUCAUGUCCUCUAUUUUUUUUUAAUAACUCUAUUUGUGUUACCCAUAUACUCAUGAGUAUAUGAGCCACCCACUGGAAUGAUGACCUACCACGAACCACACCCGUAAAGAAAAAUGACUCUCCCUGCCCCAGAAACCAUCAGCUGUCCUUUGCUCCUCAGCCAGGGAUGGGGACAAGUGCCACCACCAUCCAUGCUGCAGAGUUGACUGGCUUCAUCUGGUUGUAAGCAAUCACGGCUUCUGUGAGUUCAUGAGUGCCACAGGGCUGCCAUGUGCAGGGAGGGCUCUUUUGCCGUGGUCCUCCUUGACCUCUGGCUCUUGAAGUAUUUCUGUCCCCUCUGAGAUCUGUGCUGGUCCCUGGUCCCUGGUCCCUGGUCCCUGGUCCCUGGGAAGCAAUGUGAUAUAUAUGUCCCAUUUGUAACCAAGCACCCCAAAGACACCUUUUCUCUGCACUUUGACCACUUGUAAGUUUCUGCAUUCCCCACCAUCCAUUGCACAAAGACACUUGUGGUGAGGUCAGAGUGCUUCACUGAUCUGAAGAAGACAACUUGUACAGGUCCAUUUAACACAAGCAGAAUAGUUAGGUUCACCCCUAAGGCCUAUGAGUGCCCAGUCUUGGCCAGAUUUGCAGUACAAGACAUUUAUUCUACCAGAAAGUUGUUGCUAUCCCAUGACAUUCCUGCCACUAUUACAGCCAUGGGUGUAUCUUGUUGUGCCUGUCAUUAUUGUACCCAGGUUGUUAAUGACAUGCCCGCUCAGCUCCCCCAGCAGCCUGAACGUCACCUCUGGUACUGUGAAAGCCAACGUAGAGGAAGCUUCCAGGUCAUUACCAGCUUUGUUUCUCCAUGUCCUGUGACCAUAUUGUGUUGAUCUCAGUAGCAGGGCCUUACCAUCAAGUUCUGCUGGGGAGCCGAGAACGGCAGCAUAACCAGCCUGGGCUGUUCUGGGCGCUCGAGGACACUCUGACCUCCAACAGAGGCACCCCACAUCCGGAACUGGCUUUGUAUUUAGUAGCCCCGGUUUCUGAUGCAUUAUCCUCUGUGUGUGUGUGUGUGUAUGUGUGUGUUAUGAAAUAGUAGGUUUUCAUAUAGCUUUCCAAACCUCUGUAUUGUUAAUACAUCUCUUCACUAUACCUCCCCCCAUCCUCCUUGGCCUCCCCAAAUCUCCUUCCCAGUCCUUCCUUUCCCCUUCAUAUCUAAUUGAUUGCAUUUUUAUAAAAUUAAUAUAGUCAUAUGCCUCAGAAGUUGUGAUUUCCUAAAACCCUUGAAAUUUCAUAGUCCAAUGGUAUUCCUGUGAAAGUUUAAAGAGAGACUGCUUGGUAGCCAUGACUUUUACGUUCAUUUUAUCACGUGUAUUUGAGGGAGUGUGCACAUCCCACAGCAUGAGAGUGGAAUCAGGGCUCUCCUUCCACCACAUAGGUGCUGGGACUCAAACUCAGGCAAUCAGGCGGACAUCAAGGGACACUUUUAGCAGUUCUGACUUCAAAAUUUUAUAGAUUAUAGUUCACAGUUGGUUCCAUAUCUUCCCUAGGCCUUUCUUAUGGAACAUGCUGACUUGUGGCCAUGAAUUACGGUAAAGGGGAAAGAUUAAGCUGUUUAGUCUCUCUUGUCGUGUUGUAAACUGGGCUUCCACACUAGAGUUCUAAAACACUCUUGACCACCGGACACUCUUUGUGUCUGUGCUUUGGAAGGGUCUGGCCACUUGAGUAGGCUGUACACCCUCUGCUCACCCUCUGUCUUUCAAGCAUGUUGUCUUGAGAGAACCCUUCUGGUUCAUUCCCAUGCCCUCCCCCCACCCCCUCCCACCCCCGCCUUUGGUAGCUUGGAACUCCUCUGCAUUUAUGUAGGAAGCAGUGGUCAAAAGAGAGGAGGCGGCGGGUGGAUUUGAGGCUGUGGGAUGAGUUAAGGGCUUUAAGCAGUCUGAAGCCCUUCAGCUUGGUUUCAGAUGCUGCAGUACAGAGCAGCGGUGGCUGGGUAUUGACUGUCUCCAGGCUCUGUUCUUUCCCCCAGACAGUUAUUGAUGAUGUUAGAUCUCUCCUCCUCCCACAUGUGAAGUCAUUUCUCCCUCAGCACAGAAAUAGCUUCCUAUGGCCCUGGUCUAUAAAUCAAGACUUGAGAACAUAAUUCCAGUGAGAAACAGGAGCUAAGC